GUUUAAACUCUGACAUGAUUUUCAUCUUAUUUGUAACACAAAAGGUGAUGCUGGAAUUCCACUCUAGAUCUACCUCCUCAGUUAAAAGGGCAGAACAGGCUGGGCACCGUGGCUCAAGCCUGUAAUCACAGAACUCUGGGAGGCCGAGGGUCUCACUUUGUUACUCAGGCUGAAGUGUGGUGACAUGAUCUCAGCUCACUGAAACCUCUGCCUCUGGUGCUCAAGUGAUUCUUCCAGCUCAGCCUCCUAAGUAAGUGGGACUACAGGCAAGCGCCACCCAACCAGCUGCUGAUCGAGUGAAUUUCUUUUCCUGUUACGUACUUAUGGAAAUAAUGAAGAUGUCUUGAAGCAUGAGUACUUUUUGCUCAUAUGAGACAACUAGGAUAAGAUUCACUCCAGAACUCCUGAUGAUUUUCCUCUCCUUCAAAUCAGCAAGCAGUGCAGGCUUCUCAAGGGGAAGUAUGGGAAACAGAGAUAGCAGGGAGCCAGCGUCUGGUGAGGUGGAAUGACAGCUGGGGGCAAGGAAGCACCGGCUCUCUUCACUUUAAGGAGGGGCUGACCUAGGAAAAGGGCUUUCCCACAACUUGACCAGAAAAGUUCAUACAAAGGCAAGCCUAUCAGACUUACAGCAGAUCUCUCAGCAGAAACUCUACAAGCCAGAAGAGAGUGGGGGCCAAUAUUCAACAUCCUCAAAGAACAGAACCUUCAGCCCAGAAUUUCAUAUCCAGCCAAACUAAGCUUCACAACUGAAGGAAAAAUAAAAUCUUUUAUGAACAAGCAAGAACUCAGAGAUUUUAUUACCACCAGGCCUGCUUUACAAGAGCUUCUGAAAGAAGCAUUACACACAGAAAGAAACAACCAGUAUUAGCCUUUCUAAAAAUAUACCAAAAAGUAAAGAGCACCAACAUAAAGAAGAAUUUACACCAACAAAUGGAUAAAACAGCCAGUUAACAUCAAAUGGCAGUAAUCCUAAAUUUAAAUUGACUAAAUCCCCCAAUCAAAAGACACAGCCAAAACCCAAUGGCAUGUUACAUCCAGACCUGUUUCACAUGCAAGGAUACACAAAGACUCAAAACAAAGGGAUGGAGAAAGAUUUACCAACCAAAUGGAGAGCAAAAAUAAAUAAUGAAUAAAUAAAAAGCAGGAAUUGCAAGUCUUGUAUCGGAUAAAAUAGAUUUUAAAGCAACAAAGAUAUAGUGGUAAAGGAUCAAUGCAACAACAAGAGCUAACAAUCCUAACACCCAGAUACAUAGAGACUUAGAUUCAAUGAGACAGAAAAUUAAUAAGGAUAUCAAGGACUCGAACUCAGAUCCGGAAUAAGUAAAUUUAAAUAUUCAUAGAGCUCUCCACUUCAAAUACACAAAAUAUACAUUCUUGUCAAUACCACAUCACACCUACCCAUAGGUUUAAAUGAAACAUUGAUUGGCCAUUAUUAAUACCCAAUUUUUUUUCAGAAUAAAGCAAUAUUUCCAUUUACUCUCCCUCUUUCUCUUCCUCUUUCUUCCUCUCCUAUACUUAUUUUUUUUUUCUUUCCUUCUCUCAACAAAAAGAAAUCAACGUGUA
rnacentral:lncRNA from 1 species